CCUACGGGAGGCAGCAGUCGAGAAUCAUUCACAAUGGGGGAAACCCUGAUGGUGCGACGCCGCGUGGGGGAAUGAAGGUCUUCGGAUUGUAAACCCCUGUCAUGUGGGAGCAAAUUAAAAAGAUAGUACCACAAGAGGAAGAGACGGCUAACUCUGUGCCAGCAGCAGCGGUAAUACAGAGGUCUCAAGCGUUGUUCGGAAUCACUGGGCGUAAAGCGUGCGUAGGCUGUUUAGUAAGUCGUGUGUGAAGGGCGAGGGCUCAACCCGCGGACGGCACAUGAUACUGCGAGACUAGAGUAAUGGAGGGGGAACCGGAAUUCUCGGUGUAGCAGUGAAAUGCGUAGAUAUCGAGAGGAACACUCGUGGCGAAGGCGAGUUCCUGGACAUUAACUGACGCUGAGGCACGAAGGCCAGGGGAGCGAAAGGGAUUAGAUACCCUUGUAGUC
rnacentral:rRNA from 1 species